rnacentral:rRNA from 1 species
CUACGGGUUGCAGCAGUGAGGAAUAUUGCGCAAUGGGGGAAACCCUGACGCAGCGACGCCGCGUGGAUGAUGAAGGCCUUAGGGUCGUAAAAUCCUGUCAGGUGGGAAGAAGUGGAUAUAGAUUAAUACUCUAUUUCUUUGACGGUACCACCAAAGGAAGCACCGGCUAACUCCGUGCCAGCAGCCGCGGUAAUACGGAGGGUGCAAACGUUGUUCGGAAUUACUGGGCGUAAAGCGCGCGUAGGCGGUUUGUUAAGUCAGAUGUGAAAGUCCAUGGCUCAACUAGGGAAGUGCAUUUGAAACUGGCAGACUUGAGUACUGGAGGGGGUGAUGGAAUUCCCGGUGUAGAGGUGAAAUGCGUAGAUAUCGGGAGGAAUACCGGUGGCGAAGGCGAUCACCUGGCCAGAUACUGACGCUGAGGUGCGAAAGCGUGGGGAGCAAACAGGAUUAGAUACCCGAGUAGUC